AACAACGCCUGUCAGAAUCGGCGAAGAAGCAAUCUCAAAGAAAAAUCCGUCUGGUACGGAGAAAACUCGGCUUGAACCCCAAAACAUAAACGUCGACCUGGAUACCAAAACAACACUGUCGACCUGGAUACCAAAAUAAAUGGUAACACAGGGAUAACCCAUGGCCUGAACACCACUCGCUCGGGAUUACUAUUCUCUCUCCUUUUU
rnacentral:lncRNA from 1 species